CCACGAGAUCAUGACCUGAGCCAAAAUCAGACGCUCAACCCGCUGAGCCACCCAGGUGCCCCACAUUCUUAUAAAGAUGGUAUCCCUGAUAUACCUAUCAUUUUGAAAAGUCCUUUUUUGCUUGACAUUGUAUGACACACAUAUUCCUGUUUUGGUUUACAAAGCCUUAGCUAUUAUUUUUCAAUUGGGUAAUUGUCCACCUUAUACAUGUACUAUAAUCGAUCUUAUCAGCUCAUUCCUGAUUCAUUAGUUAAAUACGUACUGAGCACCGAUCAUAUUGCUGGUCCUUAUCUAGGUGCUGGGGAUUCAACAGUGAACAAGAAAGGUCUUUGCCCUCAUAGAGCCAAUGUUCUAGUUUAAGACGGAAAACAAAGAGUUGAUGAUAAGGUGUCAGCAUGGUACGUGUUAUAAAAUAAAACACAAAGCAGAAAAAGUGGAUCAAGAGUGGGUGGGAGUAGGGUUGUACAGUGACCAGCCAUCCUGGUUUGCCAGAGCUGUACUAACUUUAGCAUUGAGAGUCUCAUAUCCCAGGAAACCCUUAGUCCCAGACAAACCAGGGUAUUCAGUCACUCAUAAUCUCAGAAAAGGCCUCUCUGAGAGGUGACAUUUGAGCAGAGGCCUCUGGGAUAUUAGUGGAAGCCUAGCCAUGCAGAAGUCUGGGGGAAAAGCAUUCUAGACAGAGUGGAAAGUAAAUGCCAGGGGCAGGAGGCCAGAGGGCACUCUGUGUGUUUGAGAGACAGCAAGAAAGCCAGAGAGGCUGGAGUGUAGUGACAGGGAGAGCAUGGGAACCAAGGUGGAGAGGGUGAUAGGAGCUAGGUCUCAUGGAAUCUUGCAGACCAUGGUAGACUUUGGAUUUUAAUCCUAGGUGUGACCAGAAGCAACCAGAGUUUUCGAGCAGCCAGCUCAUGUGAUCCACUUAGAUUUUUUUUUUUUUAAGUGGCUCUCUGGAGUUGGGUGGAGAAAGAUUGUAGAGGGUAAAGAUAAACGUCAGGAGACAGUAGGGAAGCUUUUGCAAUAGUCUACGCCAAGUGGUGACCGUGGCUCAGACAGGGAGGUUGCAGCAGAACUGGCGAGUAGCGGUGCUUUCUGGAUUUAAUUUGAAGUGCUGCUGAAUAAAGGCCUCAUCAGUGUCUUGUUACAGAGAAGAAGUGUCCUUGUUCUGGGGAGAGGCGAUGUCCCUGAGGGAACAGAGGUCUCUGGUCUCAUCUUAAGCACUGCUGGAUCCCAUGUGACAUCAACAGCCCUCUACUGCUGCUGGGAGUUCUGAGCUGGGCGCUGGGGCAGGGCCGGCGCCAGGCACAGACACUUGGGCCCUUGUUGGGAGAACAGAGAGAGGCUCUCUUGUCCACUGCCUGUCCUCCGGCUCCAACUGCUGGUUCCCUCCGGGGCCUCUCCUCAGGCUGUGCAGAACCCACCUGAUCACGGUUACAGAAUGGACUCUAGCCCGGUGGGCAGCCCCAGUCCUCAGCCCUCAAGGGCCAAUGGGAAUGUCAACCUGGGGCCUUCAGCCAACCCAAAUGCCCGGCCCACCGACUUUGACUUCCUGAAAGUCAUUGGCAAAGGGAGCUAUGGCAAGGUGCUACUGGCCAAGCGCAAGUCUGACGGGAUGUUCUACGCAGUGAAGGUGCUGCAGAAAAAGUCCAUCUUACAGAAGAAAGAGCAGAACCACAUCAUGGCGGAGCGCAGCGUGCUUCUGAAGAGCGUGCAGCACCCCUUCCUUGUGGGCCUACGCUACUCCUUCCAGACGCCCGAGAAGCUCUACUUUGUGCUUGACUAUGUCAACGGGGGAGAGCUCUUCUUCCACCUGCAGCGGGAGCGCCGGUUCCUGGAGCCCCGGGCCCGGUUCUACGCCGCCGAGGUGGCCAGUGCCAUUGGCUACCUGCACUCCCUCAACAUCAUUUACAGGGACCUGAAACCAGAGAACAUUCUCUUGGACUGCCAGGGACAUGUGGUACUGACGGAUUUUGGCCUCUGCAAGGAGGGUGUAGAGCCCGAGGAGACCACAUCCACGUUCUGUGGCACCCCCGAGUACUUGGCUCCAGAAGUGCUCCGUAAAGAGCCUUAUGACCGGGCGGUGGACUGGUGGUGCUUGGGGGCAGUUCUCUACGAGAUGCUGCAAGGCCUGCCACCCUUCUACAGCCAAGACGUGUCCCAGAUGUAUGAGAAUAUUCUGUACCAGCCGCUACAUAUCCCAGGGGGCCAGACGGUGGCCGCCUGCGACCUCCUGCAAGGCCUUCUCCACAAGGACCAGAGGCAGCGGCUGGGCUCCAAAUCAGACUUUCUUGAGAUAAAGAACCAUGUAUUCUUCAGCCCCAUAAACUGGGAUGACCUGUACCACAAGAGGCUGACUCCACCCUUCAACCCAAAUGUGGCAGGACCUGCUGACUUGAAACACUUUGACCCAGAGUUCACCCAGGAAGUUGUGUCAAAGUCCAUUGGCUGCACUCCCGACACUGUGGCCAGCAGCUCUGGGGCCUCAAGUGCAUUCCUGGGAUUUUCCUAUGCACCAGAGGAUGAUGCCAUCUUGGACUACUAGAAGAGAAGCACUCGUGUAACCACUGAAGACAGCUGGUACCCCUAAGGACUUGCCUUCCUUACCUUCAGCUGCUAGUAACAGAGACUCAAACUCCCUGCCCCAGGAAUAAUGGGGGAUGAAGCUGGAAGAUCAUGGAAAACACACCUACGACACUAACACAGACCUACUGGAGAUCUAAGCUGGGUCAGGAAGAGUUACCAUUACCCUUUGGCAUGUGCUGAGAACUUUGAAACACUCUGAUUUGAUUUCCAUCAUAGCAGUGUCUGUUAUUUGACAAGUGUGUGGAACAAGAUGUGGCAGUGGCCAAAAUUUCCCCAACUUCCCAAAGCAAAAAGCAACAGAGUGUAAUUGUUGGAAACAUGAUAGUACUGUCACAAGUAUACAACCCACUAUGGGUUGUGAAACACAUAAUGGUUCCAUGUGUUGUAAGACUGUAAAAUCACAAAAUUUUCACCAAGACAGAAAAUAAAAAUGUAGAAAAACUA